UUGAGGAGUAGAGCUGUGUCUGAGGGGUUCGGCUUGGUUUGAGGGAGUUGAAGGGAACCCUUCCGAGAUCUUUCAGGGCCCUGGGUCCUGCCUUCGUUCUGAGGAGGCCUCAUUCCCAAACUGGGCCUGAGGCGGAUAAGUCGCAGGGCAUUCUCAACCUUAUGAUAUUUAAUUCAGACCUGGAAGAAUAAGAUAUGUUGGUAAUUCUCAUCUUUCAUAUUUUCCACAUCAAGAUCAUUAUAUGUACCUAAUACUGCUUCAACUUCUCUUCCAGGUAGCCCGUUGUGGAUAUGCUGCUGUUUUUUGCUUUGGGAUUGCUUGUGCAUUUUGUGUUCUUCGCCUCCAUCUUUGACAUUUAUUUUACCUCUCCUUUGGUUCAUGGAAUGACUCCUCAGGUUACACCAUUGCCUCCUCCAGCAAAAAGAUUA
rnacentral:lncRNA from 1 species